CCUACGGGAGGCAGCAGUCGAGAAUCAUUCACAAUGGGGGAAACCCUGAUGGUGCGACGCCGCGUGGGGGAAUGAAGGUCUUCGGAUUGUAAACCCCUGUCAUGUGGGAGCAAAUUAAAAAGAUAGUACCACAAGAGGAAGAGACGGCUAACUCUGUGCCAGCAGCCGCGGUAAUACAGAGGUCUCAAGCGUUGUUCGGAAUCAGUGGGCUGAAAGCGUGCGUAGGCUGUUUCGUAAGUCGUGUGUGAAAGGCGCGGGCUCAACCCGCGGACGGCACAUGAUACUGGGAGACUAGAGAAAUGGUGGGGGAACCGGAAUGCUCGGUGUAGCAGUGAAAUGCGUAGAUAUC
rnacentral:rRNA from 1 species